AGAACGUAGCGAAAUGCGAUACUUGGUGUGAAUUGCAGAAUCCCGUGAACCAUCGAGUCUUUGAACGCAAGUUGCGCCCGAGGCCAUCCGGCC
rnacentral:rRNA from 30 species